AUGUUUUGGUCACAUUUUUUUAUGCUGCUGCUAGCAGCUGUCCCAUGUGUUCACUGUGUUGAACUGACUCAGCCUGCAUCCAGUGUUGUCAGGCCUGGUGAGGCUUUGACUCUGUCCUGUAAGGUUUCUGGAUAUUCACUGACUGACAGCAGCUACUGCUCUAACUGGAUUCGACAGGCUGCAGGAAAACCUCUGGAAUGGGUUGGAAGGAUUUGUUAUGAUGGUAGCACAUACUACAGUGAUAAACUGAAAAGCACAUUUCAAGUUACUAGAGACAUUUCAAGCAACACAGUGACUCUACAAGGACAGAAUAUGAUGAUUGAGGACACAGCUGUGUAUUACUGUGCCCGAGAGUCACAGUGAUCUAAACCACAAGCACGUCUGUUCAAAAACAUUUCUUACAUACAGUUCCAUUCUAAUAUAAUUCUCAUACGUUCAUAUUUUUUA